rnacentral:rRNA from 1 species
CGCGCGGGUGAGUAAUAUAUAGGUAACGUGCCCUAGAGAGGGGGAUAACAUUUGGAAACGAAUGCUAAUACCCCAUAUGCCUUUAAGUCUUAAGACUGCAAGGGAAAUAUUUAUAGCUCUAGGAUCGGCCUGUACGGUAUCAGUUUGUUGGUGAGGUAAUGGCUCACCAAAACUAUGACGCCUAACUGGUUUGAGAGGAUGAUCAGUCACACUGGAACUGAGACACGGUCCAG